UCUAUUAAUCUUCUGUAUUCAACUUGUUGUAGACUCAAUUCAGUGACCUUAAUCUCCACCAGAAACCCAUCUUGCCUGAAUUUCAUCAUCAAGCUCAAAUUUGCAACCACCAUCAGCUCCACUACAAGCCCUAACUGAUUUCUAUGCAUUCAAUUUCUUCUCGAUUCAGACUCGAACCCAUCAAUUCUUCACGGUUGAACUCAAAUACACCUCAUACCAUGAAAAUCAUCAGCAACAAUAUCUUCAAUUGUAGUUCCAGAUCGAAACCCUAAUUUGAUUUACCUAUUCAAUCACCACCAUCACAACUCAGAAAACUUGAUUCAAAGUGAACCCAUGUCUUGAUUCACUCUCUGCAGCGUCCCUAUGUCAAUUUCAUAUCUGAAUCUGUCAAUUGCCUUUGAUUAUCACCAACGCAAUAACCAUUCUUCAAUUCCUUCCAUAUGCACUCUUAUUGAAACCUACAUCAAACCCAAUCUUCUAAUCCACUGUAUUUCCUCUCAUCAGUACCAGAUUCAUCAUCGAACUUCAACAGAAAGAACGAGAUCUGUUUCUUUCUUCGUCUAUUCAGAUUCAUCAUCGCCCAUCGAUGGCUGCUACUGAUGGUUAGGUUGAUGGUUUGGGGAAGAAAACGAUACAGUACUAAUUUUUUUUUCUGUUCACAAAGAAGAGGACGGAGAUAUAGAAGACGAGGGUAUUUUUAGUAGAUAAAGGCCACGUGUUUGUUUUUGUCCACCUGUACGAAGCAGCUGUCCACCUGUACGAAGCAGCUGACUCAGCUAACCGAGUUUGGAUGGAAAAAGUGACGAGAGGAGGUUUUACUAAUAUUUGUUAUGUAGGGGAGGUAACUCAAAUUAUGAUCUUCGCCAGGGGAGGUAACGCAAAUUACCCCAACUUUAACCUAAGAAAGACGAAAGAAAAAAAAAGCUCUCUUCCUUGCACAACAUACCGCCGUCGUCAUCGUAGCCAGCACCACGAUCACCAUCACCACCGUAGCAGCAAAACGGACCACCACCGUUGCAGCAGCACCAACCAGCAUAACUAGCAGUACAACCAAAUAAUGUUAUUCUCAAUCAAAUUAGAUUCCAAUAAUUAUUCCACCAUCACCACCACCAGAACCAGAUUCCAAUAAUCAUUCCACCAUCACCACCACCGGAACCAGCAGCACCAACCUCCUCCGCCAGCACCUACUGUCAUUAAUCUCUACCCUAAUCGUUAUUUCAGGUCCAUAUUUUUCUCCAAUUUCAAUUUUUUAAUUUUCAGUUCCGAAUUCGAAUAUUGAUUUUCCCAAUCUUGAAUUCGAAUUAUGAUUUUCUCAA